rnacentral:rRNA from 1 species
UACAGAGGUGCCGAGCGUUAUGCGGAAUCACUGGGCUUAAAGCGUGCGUAGGCGGGCGUCUAAGUGUCUUGUGAAAUCCCACGGCUCAACCGUGGAACUGUUGGGCAUACUGGACGCCUUGAGUCACACAGGGGCGAGCGGAACAAGUGGUGGAGCGGUGAAAUGCGUAGAUAUCACUUGGAACGCCGACGGUGAAAACAGCUCGCUGGGUGUGCACUGACGCUGAGGCACGAAAGCCAGGGGAGCGAACGGG